rnacentral:lncRNA from 1 species
UAAAGGGCAGGACAAAAAACAGUUCAAGAGUAGGACAGUUGGGUGAUGUGAUGAAAAGAGCACAGCAUGGAGCUAAACCAGUAGAAGAUACCAAAUGGAACUGUUGGCUACUGGCUUCAAAGGCUGUUUUCUAAACCAGUGUGAUGCCUCAGGUGCAGAAGAGAGAGACAAUAAUUAACAAUGUGGCCUACAGCAUCUUGGGGAACAAUUAAUUUUAGUGAAUGGACAGGGGGAGGAAGAGAGAAGGGGAGAAUCACUAAUACAGCACCUAUAAAUCAGUGUUGGGGCAGCGCAUCAUCAGAUUCAGACAGUGAUUAUUGCUUAAGACACCAUCUCUUUGAAGAGUAUAUUGUGUAAUAAUACAAUAAUGUUCCAUUUCAGGAAACAUCUGUGUGAGACACAUCUGCCUCCUGAUCUCUGGCAAACACUGUGACAAGGGGAAUCAUCUCGGCAUCCAGCAAGUGCCACCUCAUUUGUCACCAUGGUGCCUGUGCUUCCCCCACAGUUCCUCUGUCUCACUUUCUCGGACCCUCAGCUCUGUAUUAGUUCAUAAAAAAAGGGGAUUUGUCUUCACUGUUCCUGAAAUUUUAUUUUUGAGGUUUAUUUUUGAGAUUGGGCUAUCUGUUCUAUGUAGAAGGAAGGACUUAAGGAAAAAUUGAGCAAUGUAUGACUUUAUAGAAUACUUUAUUUAGCUUUUUCAGUUUGUAUGACCGGUGAUUCCUGCUCUUUCUGUCUCUCAUGAUUUACCUUCAUUAAAUGCUCUGAUCCAUGCUUAAAAAACUUCCAUACAGGCCUCCUUCCUUUCUAAACAUCACAUCUCUCUGCACUAAAUGAAGGCAGAAAAGAAAAGCUUCCCAAGGUACAGUGAGCAGAAAGUGUGCAAGUGCAAACCCAGACAGAGGAAAGGAUUAAUUCAAGCCUGAAAGGUCUCUGUAAGCUGGGAAGGUGUGCUAGGAAGGUGUUUAGCACAGAUAAGGACAGGAGACCCAGGGAGACAAAGACUGAAGUUAGGGGGUUUGGGAGGAUUCGUGAAAAGGACACCAGGAAAAAUAGUAAAUAGGGAUUUGACUGAACAAUGCAGUAUCUGUUAGAGAGGUGUUACAGGGGAGCCCUGGCGCUGAGAUCAGGGAGCAGAGGAGCUGGGGAGGAAGGGAGGCAGUCACAGCAGUGCCUGCAGAGAGUGGCAGGUGCUGAGACCAUGAGAAAAGCUGGGCUGUGAGUCCAGGUCCCUGAUCUACCAGCAAACAGUGGAACGACGAUUAAUUACAUCACAACUUGAAAAGUGGUGUUGUUUUCCACCCCUUCAAAUAGAGUCCACUAUUUACACUUGAAUCCACUGAUGGGCAGGAUUUUUUCAAAGACAGAAAUGAAAAACUGAUUU